CAGUCGCCGCGGUAAUACGGAGGGUGCAAGCGUUAUCCGGAUUCACUGGGUUUAAAGGGUGCGUAGGCGGAUCUGUAAGUCAGUAGUGAAAUCUCCAGGCUUAACCUGGAAACUGCCGUUGAUACUAUAGGUCUUGAAUUUUGUGGAGGUUAGCGGAAUAUGUCAUGUAGCGGUGAAAUGCAUAGAUAUGACAUAGAACACCAAUUGCGAAGGCAGCUGGCUACACAACUAUUGACGCUGAGGCACGAAAGCGUGGGGAUCAAACAGGAUUAGAUACCCCCGUAGUCCCUGUCUCUUAUAC
rnacentral:rRNA from 1 species